GUGGGGAAUUAGGGUUUUGGGUAGGGGGAGGGAGGAAUAUUUUUACAUGAUGGUGAUAUUUGAAAAAAAUACUCAGUUGCAGCUCUGUUACAGCCACCUUACUUCACAUAUGUCUUCAAAUAUUUUAUAAGUACAAAUUGAUAGUUUUAGAAGAUAUCUCUUCAACAAUGAGUGUUUUGGGAGUGAUUCAAUCAGCAUUGUAUCGGCCAUUCAUUGGGCUCAGGAGCUUCUCCUCUCUGACGUGCCGCGUGGUAUCGGCGGCGCCGACACCGCUCACCUCGCCCGGACUGCUGGACGCGUGCGCGCGCCUCUGGCCAGCCGCCGGUCAGCUGCGCACCGCCAUGCGCGUGCAUUUUCCGCGGCCGCGCGAGGUGAAACGGCUGCGCACCCACGGCUGGAAGACGCGCCUGCAGACCCCGGCCGGCCGGCGCAUCAUCAUGCGGCGACUGCUCAAGGGUCGCCACGUGCUAUCCCACUGAGAGGUAACCGCGCCUGUACCGCUGUGUGUGUGAUUACGGCUGAACGCUCACUGGUCGACAAGCAUAGGGCCGACCGCUGCUGACAGACGCACGUGGUGUGACCCGUGAGGGAUUACCUAGGUGUAACUUGAGUGACAUUGUUGGUCCAUGUGACAUUCAAAUCAGGACAUAGCUCGUUUUUGUAUGCCGGUACUGUCGGAACUGAAAUACAAAUUAAAGAGAGAU